rnacentral:rRNA from 1 species
AGUACUAAUUGGAGGACCGAACCCAAUACUGUUGCAAAAGUAUGGGAUGAGCUGUGGAUCGGAGUGAAAGGCUAAUCAAGCACGGAGAUAGCUGGUUCUCCCCGAAAACUAUUUAGGUAGUGCCUCGUGUAUAACUCAUUGGGGUAAAGCACUGUUUCGACAAUGGGGGUUUUACGACCUUACUGACUCGAUGCAAACUCAGAAUACGAUGAAGUUCGAUCACGGGAGACACACUGCGGGUGCUAAGGUCCGCAGUGGAAAGGGAAACAGCCCAGACCGCCAACUAAGGUCCCAAAGUCAUAGCUAAGUGGGAAACGAAGUGGGAAGGCCCAGACAGCCAGGAGGUUGGCUUAGAAGCAGCCACCCUUUAAAGAAAGCGUAAUAGCUCACUGGUCGAGUCGGCCUGCACGUAAGAUUUAACGGGGCUAAGCUAUGCACUGAAGUUGCGGAAUAUAUUUAGUAUAUUGGUAGGGGAGCGUUCUGUAAGCCGAUGAAGGUGAAUUGAGAAGUUUGCUGGAGGUAUCAGAAGUGCGAAUGCUGACAUGAGUAACGUAAAAUAAGUGAGAUUCUUAUUGGCCGAAAACCCAAGGGUUCCUACGCAAUGUUAAUCAACGUAGGGUAAGCCGGCCCCUAAGGCGUAGCUGAAGAGUGAAGUCGAUGGGAAACAGGUUAAUAUUCCUGUGCUGCUUAUAUGAACGAAGGAGGGACGGAGAAGGUUAGGUAGGCCUGGCGAAUGGUUGUCCAGGUGAAAGUAUGUAGGUAGGAAUGCUAGGCAAAUCCGGUGUUCUGUUGAUCUGAGAUACGAGACGAAGUUAAACUUGUUUGACGAAGCUAUUGAUACCAUGCUUCCAGGAAAAGCUUCUAAGUAUAUUGUAUAAGUGACCGUACUGUAAACCGACACUGGUGGGUAGGUAGAGAAUACUAAGGCUAUGAGAUAACUCUGGUGAAGGAACUAGGCAAAAUGACACCGUAACUUUGGAAGAAGGUGUGCCCUUGAUGGUGAUGAGACUUGCUCUUUGAGCUGUUGGGGGUUGCAGAUACCAGGUGGCUGCGACUGUUUAUCAAAAACACAGCACUCUGCGAAAUCGUAAGAUGAAGUAUAGGGUGUGACGCCUGCCCGGUGCUGGAAGGUUAAUUGAAGGGGUUAGCGCAAGCGAAGCUCUGGAUCGAAGCCCCAGUAAACGGCGGCCGUAACUAUAACGGUCCUAAGGUAGCGAAAUUCCUUGUCGGGUAAGUUCCGACCUGCACGAAUGGCGUAACGAUGGCCACACUGUCUCCACCAGAGACUCAGUGAAAUUGAAAUCGCUGUGAAGAUGCAGUGUACCCGCGGUUAGACGGAAAGACCCCGUGAACCUUUACUAUAGCUUUGCACUGGACUUUGAAUAUUUAUGUGUAGGAUAGGUGGGAGACCAUGAAGCAGCUACGCCAGUAGUUGUGGAGUCGUCCUUGAAAUACCACCCUUGAAUAUUUGAAGUUCUAACUCAGGAGAGAUUCGAGGACAGUGUAUGGUGGGUAGUUUGACUGGGGCGGUCUCCUCCUAAAGAGUAACGGAGGAGUACGAAGGUGCACUCGGUACGGU